GCGCUCGGCCACGUAAUUCCCGUGUGAUGAGCUUGCAGUGGUGUUGCUCUCUUGUCCCUAGGAUCAUCAACUGAGCAAUUGCGAAGCAAGCAGCACUCUAGAGGAGAAACGCUCCCCUUCUUUCUGAGCUAUGUGUCACAGACAUGCGAGGCGAACCAAUGCCAAUUGCAGGGUGACAUUACAUAGUGACAGGAAAGGCAACGGGCAGACUCUUUUGGGGUUUCCUUUCACUGUAGUUUAAACAACAACCACGUGCACAUUUGUUUGGUGCCACAAUAUGCUGCCUACCAAUUUGCUUUCCUCUGUAGCUUUUCUUGUAUUUUGUCUGUGAGGUUAUUCGAUCACUGCAAGCUAUUGCAGCCGCUGAUAAGAAGUAUUUUCUUUGUCAUGCUGCUUUCUCUGUGCACCUGAAGGGAAAGAAUUUUAGUUAUAAAAGGUCAUUGAACAUCUGCAGCAAGACUGGCAGCCAUUCUUCUGUGCAUUACAGAAAAAAGUGAUUGCAGUAACCUCAUUUAAUAAUGUAAUUGAAUACAGUGAUCAAUUACUUUCUCAUAAAGUAAAGGAGCGAUUGCUAAAGAGUAGGAUAACAGUGGGCAGUUACUGCCCCAUGAAGGGCAGUAAUCAUUUCAUGGUGCCAUUGUCCCAACCUUUGUUGAUAUAGAACAAAUACAGUGAAGUUCAUCUUCCCUCAUUUCCUCGUAGCUUCACUAAAAACUCGCUAGGUGUGCGCACUAGUUGAAAUGGUGGUGUUAUUAUGUGUAAGCAAGAGGCAUGGAAAUUAUGGAGCAAAGGCCGAUAACAAUGCUGUUACAACAGAAAAGGUGUAGUGUAAACUGAAUACAAAUAUUCAGAUAUGGUUGCACUUGCGCUGCCAAGAUGUGUAGUGGUGCCUGUGUGUCCUCCCCUGGCUAUGGCCCUAGCUAAAAGUGCACGAUUAGAAGUGGUCGUGAUAGAUAUUAAAAAGUCUAAUUAUUAGCGGUGACCAAGUGAGCUUGUCACUUGAGAGGUUACAGCAUUGAAGUAGCAUUCAUGAGGUGAAAGCCAAAAUAAAACAGCGUUUGCUUUACCUUUCAAGAUGGCAAUUGGCAUGUAUUUCUAAAGAGUCCCACUUACCAUUCGAGUAAAUACGGUAUUAAGGUCUGUAUAUGAACACAUCAACACAUAAAUUGGAAACAGGAAGGUGGUUUUGUGAUGUGCACAUGCCUUGGCAAGACCUAGUAAA
rnacentral:lncRNA from 1 species